AUGCAAGUAGAACGGUAACAGAGAGAGCUUGCUCUCUGCUGACGAGUUGCGAACGGGUGCGUAACGCGUAUGCAACCUACCCAUAACAGGGGGAUAGCCCAUAGAAAUGUGGAUUAAUACCCCAUAACAUCAUAGAUUGGCAUCAUGAAAUGAUUAAAACUCCGGUGGUUAUGGAUGGGCAUGCGUGACAUUAGCUAGUUGGUGAGGUAACUGCUCACCAAGGCAACGAUGUCUAGGGGUUCUGAGAGGAUGAUCCCCCACACUGGUACUGAGACACGGACCAGACUCCUACGGGAGGCAGCAGUGAGGAAUAUUGCGCAAUGGAGGAAACUCUGACGCAGCCAUGCCGCGUGCAGGAAGACUGCCCUAUGGGUUGUAAACUGCUUUUAUAUAGGAAGAACUACAGCUACGUGUAGCUGUUUGACGGUACUAUACGAAAUAAGGACCGGCUAACUCCGUGCCAGCAGCCGCGGUAAUACGGAGGGUCCAAGCGUUAUCCGGAUUUAUUGGGUUUAAAAGGUCCGUAGGCGGGUUAUUAAGUCAGUGGUGAAAUCCUACAGCUCAACUGUAGAACUGCCAUUGAAACUGAUAACCUUGAGUAUAAUUGAAGUGGGCGGGAAUGUGGUCAUGUAGCGGUGAAAAUGCUUAGAUAUGACACAGAACACCGAUUGCGAAGGCAGCUCACUAAGUUAUUAACUGACGCUGAGGGACGAAAGCGUGGGUAGCGAACAGGAUUAGAUACCCUGGUAGUCCACGCCGUA
rnacentral:rRNA from 1 species